UAGGCUAAGAUGAUAAAUAAGGGUGCUUAAUGGGAGGCAACCCAUUUGGUUUUUUCGUUCUUUUUAUCUCCUUUCUUCUUCUUUUCUUUAUUCUCAUGUUUGUCAAUUGUCAAUGCCACUUUAGCUCAUGUUUUUCUCCCUUAUUGCAGGAUAUUAAAGGACCUACUCGAGGCUAUUACACACUCGAACAAGGAUCAUGUGAACCGCAACUGAUAUCAAGAGGAAAAGAAUUACCCUUGCCCAAGGGUUAAUCACACAAUGAUGCUUGAGCGGCCAUUUGGCGUUC
rnacentral:lncRNA from 1 species